rnacentral:rRNA from 1 species
GAUGAACGCUGGCGGCGUGCCCAAUACAUGCAAGUCGAGCGAAUGGAUUAAGAGCUUGCUCUUAUGAAGUUAGCGGCGGACGGGUGAGUAACACGUGGGUAACCUGCCCAUAAGACUGGGAUAACUCCGGGAAACCGGGGCUAAUACCGGAUAACAUUUUGAACCGCAUGGUUCGAAAUUGAAAGGCGGCUUCGGCUGUCACCUAUGGAAGGACCCGGGUCGCAUUAGCUAGUUGGUGAGGUAACGGCUCACCAAGGCAACGAUGCGUAGCCGACCUGAGAGGGUGAUCGGCCACACUGGGACUGAGACACGGCCCAGACUCCUACGGGAGGCAGCAGUAGGGAACCUUCCGCAAUGGACGAAAGUCUGACGGAGCAACGCCGCGUGAGUGAUGAAGGCUUUCGGGUCGUAAAACUCUGUUGUUAGGGAAGAACAAGUGCUAGUUGACUAAGCUGGCACCUUGACGGUACCUAACCAGAAAGCCACGGCUAACUACGUGCCAGCCGCCGCCGUAA